GCUGGAGUUCGGGGGUAGAACACUUGCCUAGAAUGCAUGAGGCCCUGGGUUCAAAUCCCAGGAACA
rnacentral:tRNA from 1 species